rnacentral:rRNA from 1 species
GACGAACGCUGGCGGCGUGCUUAACACAUGCAAGUCGAACGGAAAGGCCCUGCUUUUGUGGGGUGCUCGAGUGGCGAACGGGUGAGUAACACGUGAGUAACCUGCCCUUGACUUUGGGAUAACUUCAGGAAACUGGGGCUAAUACCGGAUAGGAGCUCCUGCUGCAUUGUGGGGGUUGGAAAGUUUCGGCGGUUGGGGAUGGACUCGCGGCUUAUCAGCUUGUUGGUGGGGUAGUGGCUUACCAAGGCUUUGACGGGUAGCCGGCCUGAGAGGGUGACCGGCCACAUUGGGACUGAGAUACGGCCCAGACUCCUACGGGAGGCAGCAGUGGGGAAUAUUGCACAAUGGGAGGAAGCCUGAUGCAGCAACGCCGCGUGCGGGAUGACGGCCUUCGGGUUGUAAACCGCUUUCGCCUGUGACGAAGCGUGAGUGACGGUAAUGGGUAAAGAAGCACCGGCUAACUACGUG